AAGUCGUAACAAGGUUUCCGUAGGUGAACCUGCGGAAGGAUCAUUAACACAAGUAAAAAAACAUUUUACAACACCCUCUUAUGAAUUUAAAUUUUUUAAUUUUAAUUUUAAUUUUUUUUAUAAAACUACAAAAAAAAUAUUUAAUUUAUUUGACUAACAUUUUUUUAAUUAAUUUAUUUAAAAUUUUAUAAAACAACUCUUAACAACGGAUAUCUUGGCUCUC
rnacentral:misc_RNA from 1 species